rnacentral:rRNA from 1 species
GACGUAGGGCGCGAGCGUUGUCCGGAUUUAUUGGGCGUAAAGAGCUCGUAGGCGGUUUGUCGCGUCUGCUGUGAAAACUCGGGGCUCAACCCCGAGCUUGCAGUGGGUACGGGCAGACUAGAGUGCGGUAGGGGAGACUGGAAUUCCUGGUGUAGCGGUGGAAUGCGCAGAUAUCAGGAGGAACACCGGUGGCGAAGGCGGGUCUCUGGGCCGAUAUUGACGCUGAGGAGCGAAAGCGUGGGGAGCGAACAGG